GGGGGCGAAUAUGGUUUCGACAUGAAUGUCAAAGUCCAAGGUGCAUGUCGAGGAAGUACAGUAACCUCGUAAAUAACAGUACAAUGCCGAUAAUAACUGGCAAUAAAAAAGCAAACCGCGUAGCGGCUAACGACAGCAACUUUGUUGCUGUUGCUAAAGCUGCCUAGUCUAGCUUAAUAACCUAGAAACGCACAGGUAUUAUAUCUUUUCUUGUGAAGGUAUAUUUACACCUGUUCAUCUUUUACAUAAGACGGUUGUUUGUUUUAAGUCUGGAAGUAAAUGACUGUAUUUAUCAGACUCGCUAACUUUUACCCUGAUUAUCUGGGGAAAAGCUAAGCUAAAUAUUAAAUAAGAUAAUCUAAGCAUGUAGAUCUAAAGAUAGAGAGUUUAUGGACGCGGGUUCAAAUCCCGCCGCCUCCACCA
rnacentral:tmRNA from 1 species